CAUGCUUGCCUAGAAAAGUUGGACCAGAUUAUCCUUGAGGUGCCUUCCAACCUGGUAUUCUAUGAUUCUAUGAUCUGAAUGUCCUUUAC